CAUGGUAUCAUAUGAUUUGAAGUCGAAAAAUUCAUGCUAUGGGUGAUAUGGAAAAGUCAUUGCCUUCUUUGCUGGAACAUUUCCUAAGAUGAUCUAAGGUAAUUAUUUUAGUCACGAUGUCAUUUAUAUGCUAAAUUCAGUGCAUUGACAACUAGAGAUCGCUUUCUUUUUGUGUAUUGAUCAUUUUAGUACAAUUGUUUGAUACACUGCCGACAUCAUUUUUUCUCUUCUUGCUUGUUAUUUCAUUUAUUUCCUCCAGCAAGUGGAUGGCUAUUUCCACUGCUUCAGGUUUUGUUUUGGCUCUAAUUGUGUGUAUGUCAUCUUGGCCUUCUUAGGUGAAGCAGUUAUGAAUAUCCUCGCUGAUCUAGGGCUCUAUAAUUGUAAGAGUCGAUGAUAUAUGGUGAGCUGCCUCACACCAUCAUUUGGUCUUUGUAGCAUUUGAGUUGGCAAAUUUGUUGGAUUCAUGCGAUUAGGCAUGGUAAGUGCUCAGAGACCCAUAGCUCUAUAAUUGUUUGCUUCCAAAAGUUCUGAAUCUUUUCUGCGCUUGGUCCUCUCAUUGGUGAGAGUAGCCAUGAUCAAUCUGCUAUGGGAAAUGGGAGUUU
rnacentral:lncRNA from 1 species